AUGAUCUCAGCCUUUCACUGCCAGCCCUUGUGUGCUGUCUGCCACCUCUUUGCAGGGACCACUGUCAAAGACAUGACAAUCCCUGCAUCCCUGACUCUCCUUACAUGCUUGACACCCACAGAGACCAUGGCACUGCUGCCCAACACCAGCUCAAGCACUGCAGCCACCCUCCCUCCCUCCAGUCCUGCAACCUCCACCCCAGAGAUGCCAAUGGAUGCCUUCACACCCAGUGCUGCUGCACCUCAGGGGAGCAGCCUGGAAGCCUCCAGCAUCGCCACAGCACAGGAGAGGGGCAGCACUACUGGAUCGCCUAGGCUGGGGCUCACCACUGGCACGCCAACAGGGGUGGGGCUCACCACCGGCACCCCAACUUCAACCUCCAUGGCCAUAACACCCAACUGUCCCAAGGCAACCAAUGUCACAUCUGUGGGGACCAGCACAGCCCUGGCUUUGAGCUCAUUUGGAGCUGAAAUGAGCACGCUGCCUCCCCCCACAUCUACUCUUGUCUCCUCCACCUGGGUGGGCACCACACUUGGCACCAGCACCCACCAAGGGCCAGCCAUGACCACGCUGCUUGGCAGCACAUCCCCAGGGAGUGCCAGCACCUCUUCUCCCACCACACCAGCACUGACAGACACUUCAAACAAGCCCUUGACAACCCCAUCAGACACCACAGCCUCCCUCAUUACUAGCACGGUGGCCACCAAGGGCACCCCUGCCCCCAGCCAGCCAGUUGGGACCACGGCCAGGACCACCCUUGGUACCUCCACCCUGACAGCACCUGAGACUACCAGUGCCACUGCAGGUGAGUGCAGCCAUGGGACACCUGGGGGGCAGGAUCAGGGUGGCAAAUCCCCAUGGGAUCUUCCAUCCUGCUCAGCCAGGCCCCUGGCUCCUUCCCCACAGCCCAGCCCAUGGCCUGGCUCCAGCCCUGUGGGGGCUGCCUGGUCUCUAGGCUCUUCAGGCCAGUGGAUGGUCCUAUGCUGGACUGUGACUGUGCCUUGGUGGGACUGUGCCUAG
rnacentral:lncRNA from 1 species